CCUGCCAAUGCAAGGGACACGGGUUCCAGCCCUGCCCUGGUGUGGGAAGAUCCCACAUGCCACGGAGCAACUAAGCCUGUGCGCCACAACUACUGAGCCUGGGCUCUAGAAGCCACCACAAUGAGAGGCCCGCACACCACAACGAAGAGAACAGCCCCUGCUCGCCGCAACUAGAGAGAGCCCAUGCAUAGCAACGAAGACCCAAUGCAGCCAAAAAUAAAUAAAUAAAAUAAAUUUAAAUCACAGAUCAAUAGGUUUUUUUAAAAAAAGAAUAUUGUAAGCAUCUUUUAAAGCUUUAUCUAAACUCUAGAAAUUGUAUAUUGUCUAUAGCACCAAGUAAUCAGUGUUAGCCUAAUUCAACUUAAAUUCAACAAUUAAAACACUUAAACAGUAAGAGUAUGUAUUCAUAUUUGUUUAUUAUUGCAUAAAGAGGUUACCCAGAUUUUGAAGCAAGGUCAGUGGAAACUGGUCAUACUGAAGAACAGGUGGGGACAAUGCUUUUCACUAAAUACCUUUCUAAAAACUUUUUAUAAUCAUGUGAACAUAUUACCUGUUUUAAAAUUAAGCUUACCAUUUACAAUCAGCAUGAGAUGAAGAUGCAGAACUAUAAAUUCAUGAUAUAAUAAAUGGACUGAAAUUG